UGGAAACGACUGCUAAUACCGCAUAAGCCCACAGGUCGGCAUCGACCAGAGGGAAAAGGAGCAAUCCGCUUUGAGAUGGCCUCGCGUCCGAUUAGCUAGUUGGUGAGGUAACGGCCCACCAAGGCGACGAUCGGUAGCCGGACUGAGAGGUUGAACGGCCACAUUGGGACUGAGACACGGCCCAGACUCCUACGGGAGGCAGCAGUGGGGAAUAUUGCACAAUGGGGGAAACCCUGAUGCAGCGACGCCGCGUGGAGGAAGAAGGUCUUCGGAUUGUAAACUCCUGUUGUUGAGGAAGAUAAUGACGGUACUCAACAAGGAAGUGACGGCUAACUACGUGCCGGCAGCCGCGGUAAAACGUAGGUCACAAGCGUUGUCCGGAAUUACUGGGUGUAAAGGGAGCGCAGGCGGGAAGACAAGUUGGAAGUGAAAUCCAUGGGCUCAACCCAUGAACUGCUUUCAAAACUGUUUUUCUUGAGUAGUGCAGAGGUAGGC
rnacentral:rRNA from 1 species